AGGAGACAGAUGGUGUGUGAGUAGAACCAUCUCUAGCCACCUCGUUAUGUCAGUGAGUGACAUAACAAGAUAAAAACUUUUGAAAUGGCACGUUGUGUAUUCUGCUAUGCUAUCUCUCAACGCUGUCAGUCUCUUCAGCCUCUUUCUGAGUACUAAAGGCCCUGAAGAUCAUCUCUCCCAGAGUCUGGAAACUCUCAGAAGUCUAAUGCCACCUGAAUCCCCAUCUAUCAGCCUGUGAGGAGUUCUUCCAUUUUGUCUUUGAUGAUAUCUUCUUGCUGCUAGUGGGAUGUCUUCAGGACGAGCAGGAGGUUUUCAUCUUUUCCUUUUUGGAGCGGUCCGUGCGGAGGUGCUCAACAUCAUUUGAAGGUAACUCAAAGGUUGUUCUCAUGAAGCCUUUGGAAGAUGGCUUCCAGUGAACAGUUGUGAGCUUCGGCUGAGGUCCCAAAAACAAGAAUGCCGCAAUCACUGAAGUUUUUCACUACUGGGAUUCCAUGGAGCACCUGCUGAAUGAUGUGUUGGAAAACUUCAGCAGAUAAUGAGAUUCUGAAAAUUAAUGCUUGUACCCAUGUAUGCUUAAUUAAUGCUUAGUCCCAUGUAUGUUAAGAAAGUUGUGAUAUACCUCGACUCUGGAGCAAGUUCCAACUGGUGGUAUCCAGUCCAGUCAUAUUCAAGGAACUAUCUUUCUAGGGGUUCUGAUGCUUUUAGAUUUUAUUUACAUUUUGAUAACAUAUCUACAUUAUUUCACUUUUUAAUCCGUAUAAUAUUGCUUACUAGUUGUUGUCCAAUGAAUUCUGUAACCACUCCCUCUUCAAACCAGGGUUGAUUGGAAAAAGCUGUUUGAAAGAGGACAUUGUAUUAUCAUGUCUUUGUACUCCCUGACGAAGACCAUGCAGCCGAAACACGUCAGAGUUUUUAAUCUUUGUUUCC